CAGAAGCUGAAGACUUCCGUUAAAAAAAACAACUGCAAUCCUGAGUGGAAUCAAGAAAGGACUCUUUCUAUAAAGGACGUUACAACCCCGAUACGUUUGUUUUUGUUUUGCAGUCAGUUUAUGACAAAGACACAUUCUCAGGGGAUGACAAAAUGGGAGAUGCAGACAUAGACUUAAUACCAUAUGUUCAGUCUGUGAGAAUGGGAUGGACUGACCUUCCAAAUGGUACUGUAGUGAGGAUCAUUCAACCAGAUGAAACUAAUUGCCUUGCCAAAGAAAGCAACUGCGUUUGGCAAAAUGAAAACAUCAU
rnacentral:sRNA from 1 species